UUUUGGUGAGGUGCCUUCCGAGUUCCCUGGAACGGGACGCCAUAGAGGGUGAGAGCCCCGUCUGGUUGGACGCCGAACCUCUGUAAAGCUCCUUCGACGAGUCGAGUAGUUUGGGAAUGCUGCUCUAAAUGGGAGGUAUAUGUCUUCUAAAGCUAAAUACCGGCCAGAGACCGAUAGCGCACAAGUAGAGUGAUCGAAAGAUGAAAAGAACUUUGAAAAGAGAGUUAAAAAGUACGUGAAAUUGUUGAAAGGGAAGCGCUUGUGACCAGACUUGGGCUUGGUUGAUCAUCCGGGGUUCUCCCCGGUGCACUCUUCCGGCCCAGGCCAGCAUCAGUUCGCCCUGGGGGACAAAGGCUUCGGGAACGUGGCUCUCUCCGGGGAGUGUUAUAGCCCGUUGCGUAAUACCCUGUGGCGGAC
rnacentral:rRNA from 1 species